CGGAGGGCAGGAGUGCAACGACGGAAGUGGAGUGAGGGCGACGCCCCACAGAAGGACUGGAAGCGUGCAAACUACCUUUUUCAGACUCCAUUACCAGCUGAAUGCUACUUAAGUCUGCCAGCUGGAGGCAUCCACAGAAGCUAGAAGGAGUGAGAAGAUCAAGGCCGUUAUGUUUCUGGCAGGCCCUGUCUCACGCCAGCUCAGUGAUGGUGGAGGCUGCCUGCCUGCUGCCGGGUGCCAACGACCGCAACACGACCCGCAUCUCCAGAGAAAAAUCACAUUUUGUGCUACUCGGAUGUCAAAAACAGCUCCCUUGCGGCUCCUAACUUAGCUCAUUGUGGGCUAGUCUAAUAGUACGC